rnacentral:rRNA from 1 species
UACGUAGGGAGCAAGCGUUGUCCGGAAUCAUUGGGCGUAAAGAGCGUGUAGGCGGUCCGGUAAUCCGUUGUGAAAGUCAGGGGCUCAACCCUUGAAUGCCGGCGGAUACUGUCGGGCUAGAGUCCGGAAGAGGCGAGUGGAAUUCCCCGGUGUAGCGGUGAAAUGCGCAGAUAUCGGGAGGAACACCUAUGGCGAAGGCAGCUCGCUGGGGACGGUACUGACGCUGAGAACGCGAAAAGCCGUGGGGGGAGCAAAACAGG